rnacentral:rRNA from 1 species
AACCGCGGUUAGACGAGAGGCCCUAGUUGAUUAACCCACGGCGUAAAGGGUGGUUAUGGGAAUUUAAAGGAUAAAGCCAAAUAGCCCCUUGGCCGUCAUACGCUCCUGGAAGCCCGAAGCCCAAGCACGAAAGUAGCUUUAAAAAAUUACCUGAAUCCACGAAAGCUGAGGAA